GGAAAAGGCGGUGGAGGAAAAGGCGGUGGAGGUCAAGGUAGCGGCGGUGGAGGUCAAGGUAGCGGCGGUGGAGGUCAAAGUCGUGGCGGUGGAGGUCGAGGUCGUUAGUAAGGAAGACAAGAACAAAAUACUGAAGGAGGAAAUAUGAAGCAAAAUACGGCGUGGUUAAUUUUCUCCUUAUUUUGAUGAUCAAUAAAAAUGUAAAUUAAAACUAAUCUGUAUAAUGUUUCUUUCGAUUAAACUGUUUUAUAUUCCACAA